CUGGUAAUUAUCUAUUCUAAAAUUGAGGAGCAAUUGACUGUUCAUUGGGCUACAGUCAAUUGUUUGCCUCUUGAUUUCAACUUAUUUACAAUAAAAUCAUGAGAAUUGGGCUGGGUUUGAAGGGUAUUAUUUGAACUGAUAAGGGUAAUUUUGUCUGGAGGGUUUAGGACAAAUUACCCUUUCAUUUCACCUUAUUUGCAAGAAACCCAUUAUAUGUGAACUAGGUUGGAAGGGCAAUUUUGUCCUCUCGGUUUUGAGUGAAUUAAGGGGUUGUCGUGUAGGGUUGCAUUUGCUGUCCUUCACUGAUGGUUUCGGAGAAUUGAAGCUCUCACAGAGAGCGGAAGAAACAGAGAGAGAGAGAGAGAGAGACAAAGAGAGACAGAGAGAUGCCGAGGGGAAGACAGCGCAGGGGAGAGGUAUGGGUGAUGGAUUUCAAAAGUGGGAAAGUGGGUUUUGUCUUCUCGGUUUUGACUGAAUUCGAGGGUUGUUGUGUACAGUUUCAUUUGAUGUCCUUCAAUGAGGGUUUCGGGGGGAUGGAGACUCUGACAAAGAGCGGAAGAAAGAGAGAGAGAGAGAGAGAGAUGACGAUGGAAAGAGAGCGAAGGGGAGAAGUAUGAGUCAUGGAUUUCAGAAGUGGGAGAGUAGGGAUGGUCAGAGAAAACCAUAUGGGUUAUCCGGAUCUACCGCUGCAUGCCUGGAUUUCGAAAGAUAAGUGCUUUUAAAUUUUUUUUUUUUCUAUCAGCUUAGAUUGUCACGUUUCUGCCUUUUUGUUGUGGAUUAUUUUCGAAUUUUUUAGUGUGUUAGGUCAGAUUUUGGGGGAAUCAUCAGAGAUAUUUAUUUCCCUUAUUAGUUUUCUUUUCUCUUAUUUUGCACAUUGAUCUCUAUGUCUGCCUGUUUGUUCUCUGUCUUAGGGUCCGUAAUUUUAUUUAUUUAUUUUUUUUUUUUGGGGUUUUUUGUAUGGCUUUUUUUUUUCUUUUUGUUUUCCAGGUUAUAGAUCUAAUGCUCUUUUGUAUACCAAUCUUGGUUUAGUUUUCUUUUCUCUCAUUUUGCACAUUCAUCUCUCUGUCUGCCUGUUUGUUCUCUGUCUUAAGGUCGAUUAUUAUUAUUUUUUUUUUUUUGGGAACCGCUUGGUAAGUGUUAAAUACAUCCUAUAACAUGACUGACUAACAAGCAUGGUCGUUCAGAUAUACAUGCAAUUGAGAUCACUCAUUAAAUCAGAUUUCUUUUAAAUGGAAGCAAAUCUUGCCUAUUAAGUGUUUGUGAAAAUUCCCCAGAGAGUUAGAAACAAGGAUAUGAUGCAAAUCUGAAUGUAGGCUGUUUUGGUAUGUGUGUGUACAUAUAGGGGUGUUAUAUUGAUAUGACAUGCUGCCUAAUUUAUCUAUUUUUCGAUUUUUCGAUUGUUCGAUCAAAGAAGGAAGUUCAAUUUAUCAAGGAUCAAGGUUUGGACUACUAGACAGCAUGCCGACUUCGGUUUGAGGUUCAGCAACAGGUUGUUGAAAUGAUCACUUAUAUAGCCUCUACUGCAAAACAAUUUCCUAAGAAAUGUGUAUUACUUUGUCUUCUGGGUAUAUGUGAAUGGCUCACAGAGUUUUUCUGAAUCUGUAGAUCCAGUGGGCCCUCAUGACACUGUUAUAUCCAAACCAAAGUUUGGCGAAUUUGAUAUAUGUUGGAUACAAUGGCAAUCCUACUUCAACUAUCCAUGUUACUAGAAGAAGAUCAGAAGAUCAUAAAAGGCAAAAAACAGAAAGAAAUGUUAGCUGCUUCGUUUUUUGUCCUAAAAAUGCAGAAAAAUCCCCUCUUUUAAAUUCAUUCAUAGGAAGAUAUGGCUUUCCCCCUUCACUAUACUCAACAUAGUUAUUGCUCCUGAAACUACCCAAUUUUCUUUUCUUUUUUCUUUUCAAACUGAGACAAAGCUCACCGUGUCUGCUAUCCCUUUCCUGUUUGACUCUGGUCUAUCUUCUGUUUUAGAAAAUAUUUGUGGUGACUAUAGAUUUAAUCUUUCAUUUUGCUUUGUUAAUUUGUUGUUGCCAAUUUUGACCUCAGGCCUUUCUCAAAGAGCGAGACUAUACCUACUGGUGAGUGUUAUGCAGUGAAUGUCAUUAACCAGAUUGGGGACUUCAUUAAUCGUUUAGAAGCGCAGCCAAUGAUGUGAGAGCAUAAGGGGAGCAAGCAUGUGAGUGCGGAAGACUUAGCUGCUUGAACAAGAACGACUGCUGCAGGGCGUUCUACAUGUUUUUGGCUUUCAACAUUUUUGCUUCAAGACUUAGCUGCUUGAACAAGAACGAAACACCAUCUUAACUGCAAGGCAAAAUAUGUGUGGACUGGAUGUUACUUCUGUUUCUUACUGAAACAGGCGUCCUGCAUGUUUUUAGCUUUGCACGUUUGUGCUUGAAAACUUUGAUGCUAGAAUAAGAACGAAACAGUUUUUAUGUUGCCUAACCUAUAGGAUAUAUAUUUUGCCACAUUGACUACAGAGGCAAGAUUUGUGUGAACUGUAUGUUUACUUCUGUUUAUUAGGGAACCAAAACGUUCAGUUUCGUCUUGUUCAUUGUACAAAGUCUUUUUAUGUCAGCUCAGUUGAAUGUAUAUAAAAACGAAGCUGCAUAUCGUACUGACCUCAAUCACUCAUCUAUCCCUUUAUUCAUUUAUGAUUGUGUUGAAUUUAUUCAGGUAAAAUGUAUCUUAUUCAUGUAGUUCAAGGUGAUGCA